GCCGGAGCUUCGUACUUGGGAGCGUAUUCGGCUGACCUGUAAGAAUCGGCGGCAGCGACAGCGAAAAGGGCGGCGAGGAUCAAGAACUAAUAAAAUAUGGAACAUUUGACGCCAUUUAAUAAGGCUUAUGUAAGAAUCUCAGAAAUGAACUUCGGAACGUGGGGCCAACUAUUAACCGCUUCGUCUUCGUCACCGAAGAUAUAGGUCUACAACUCUCCAUGACGUCCAUGCCCAUCUCCACAUCCUCUUUCAUGUCGUCCAUGUGUUGCUUUCAUUGCCCGUUUUACUCACUACCUGGUGCAAAACAAAAUAAUGGGUCCUCGGGUCACCUCAGCGCAUGCACUUUCAUAGGCACUUUCAUGCCGAAUCGAUGACCACGAAGCGCUUCACGCUCAAGGCCAGCACAUUUUUCUGAAUUGUGUAUCCAUAUUCUGAAUGCAGUUUUUGUCCAUUGUCGUCGUGUUUCCGUGAACCAAAUUUGUAUGCCGGAGCUUCAUACUUGGGAGCGUAUUCGGCUGACCUGUAAGAAUCGGCGGCAGCGACAGCGAAAAGGGCGGCGAGGAUCAAGAACUAAUAAAAUAUGGAUUAUUUGACACCAUUUAAUAAG